ensembl:lncRNA
GUUUCCUGUAUAACUCUGAUAAUACCAUUUGUUGUUAAAUGACUAAAAUGAAAAUAGAAUUUAGAACUACUGAUCUGUAAAUGAUACAUUUUAUUAUAGGACUAUUUCACAUUUAGGAAUAUUGUUCACCUCAAGAUCAGCAGAUUAUCAUGAAACUGUGAUCAGUUGAAAGAAUUAUAUUUACUUAAAUGAGACCCCUUUAAGGUUUCGUGUGGUUUUAUUUAUUUUUUUAUUUUUCAGAUGACUUUUAUAUUUUUUCCCUUAUUGCUGGCUUACAGUGUUCUGUCAAUUUUCUACUAGAUAGCAAAGUGACCCAGUCACAUGUACAUAUACACACUUUUUCUCACAUUAUCCUCCAUCAUGCUCCAUCAAAAGUGACUAGAUAGAGUUCCCAGUGUCAUACAGCAGGAUUUCAUUGCUUAUCCAUUCCAAAGGCAAUAAUUUACAUCUAUUAACCCCAAGUUCUCAGGCCAUCCCAUUCACCACCACCUUGGCAACCGCAAGUCUGUGGUUUGAUUUUAAUAUUUCAGAUUUUAAACAAUAACAACACAGUAUUUCGCACUUGGACAAAAUGUUCAGAUUCUUUUAAUUAUGUAAAUUUCACAUGUUAUUAAGGACAGAUUUCAAGGGUAAUUUCAAAAGCAAACAUUUAGUCAAAGCCAGCUAUUAUAAACUGAGAUAAACUAAGCUCAUGGAAUAUUCAUGCCCCCAACCAUAGGAAGUUUACAAUUUUUUGCUGGAGACACACACAUACAACCAAAUUUGGUUUUUAUUUUCCUCUGGCCCACUCCAUUAAUUCAAGAAUGUAGAGCUAAUCAUUGUUGAGGUACGUUGUUCUCCUUGACAUUUGUUCAGUUAUUUACAUUGAAGUGAUUUAUCACAAAGGAAUUCCUUCUCUUUAGUAGAUGUUUUUGUACUUUAAUAUAUGGCUUUCUGGUCUUUGUGGAAACCUUAAGAUCACCCUGACAAAAUAUUGAAUAAUUAACCGGUUAGAUAAUGUUGAAAAACUAAUGAGCAAGAAAGUAUUUUUUUUUUAAAAGAUUCUACUGUUGAAAAUGUUCUAUCAAAUUCUGGGGCAGAUAUGCAUGUAUUAAAAGCUAAGCCAUAUGUGAAACUUUUCCUGAGAAAGGAAUAAUAUCUUCCUAAGAAGUUUCUAGAUAAUGAACUAUAGUGUAGACUCUUUGGUGUGCAUCAGAGAAGCCUGGUUAGAAAAAGGUCAUAGAGUCUAUAUUUCCAUUUCUAGGACAGAAUUGUCCUAGCAAAUGGUAUGUGAAGGAUGUGAAAUCAGUGUGACUAAUUAACACAUACAUUCCCUAGUUGGGCUCCAAGUACUUUGUUUACUAAAGCGUAAAUAAAUAAAUAGAUAGGCUAAUACAUGCUUUUAUUUUGGACAAAUGACAGCCCUGGAAUGACUGCUUCUGUUUCUCAUUUCUCCUCAACAUAAGGUUGAAGAUCCUGUGAUUCAAGUUGCUGGGAACUUCUACUUUGCUUAAAUCCACUUGUUCUCCUUCCUUUUUUAAAAUACUGAAGUUAAACAUUGGAACAACAAUGGAGCAAUGUCUCUGGGGAUUGAAUUACGUCUAAUUGGGAAGGAGGCACCGCACUCUCUUGUUUUUAGUUCAUAAAGUAAGACAGUCAAUUAGGAGGCAGCCCAUUUGGAGCCAAGUAGCAGGACAGCCUUUUAAGAGGAGAUUCAUUCAAACAAAUAAGAGGAUUUUAAAAAGUAUGUCUUGUAAGAGGCCAUUCUAGGUGGACUGCUGGGUUAUGCCUGUCUUUUCAAGCAGUGGCAGUGUAGUAUUAGGUGGUGAAGGACACUCAUAUCCAUAAAACUAUGGCUUUCAUAAUGCAGAUGAUUAGAGUAGGAAGUCCCGUUCUUCCCCAGGCAUGUUCCCCUAAUAGUGAUUGUCCUGGGUACUGCUCCUCUGUAUUCUCUUCUAAUCAGUCCCUUCAGCCAAGUAGCAUCAGUCACUCUCUCUAAUGUCAGNUGAAUAUGAGGAAGAUUUAGAAUAGACAUCUGUUCUGUUACAUUGACUUCCAAAUACAGUGUAUACCAUGGAUUAUAAAUAUACAGUGGGCAUUACAAAUAUUCUUGCGUCCACUAGAAAUCUCAUUUUCUCUGCAUGGGAAUUUUAAUAUCACACUUACAUUGCUCGUUUUAGGUUGUUUUACUAAAAUAGGUCAUUUUGUGCAAAUUCUCAAAUGUGGACUUUCAUCAGAAACAUAUAUUUCUGUGUUUUCUAGAUGUCAGAGUGGUUGUCUUGAAGUCAUAUUUAGAUCUGAAUUGAAAACCCCUAGAAAAAUAGUGUUGUAGGAUGCUGCUUUGUUAGUUAACAGGAGGAUACCUAGUUAUAGUUUUAAGGAUAGCAAAUUUGUUUACUGCAGACUUGACUUCUGUUGUGCUCACCUUAAUGAGCUUCACAAUAGUGUUCUUUUGGGCUUCAAAUGAUGCAUUAUAAUCCCAUCAGCACCUUUGCCAACCAAUAAAUUAUUAAUAAGGUGAUGAUCAUGCUAAUGAAGCUAUUUUAUUAGAUUUUGAUGGAUUUUAUGGGGAGGCCUUUGAAAUACAUAGAGUAUUUUCUCCCAGGGCAAAUCUAGCUUCAUUGAAAGCCUCCCUGAAAACUCUUCAUUACUCACAAUAUCGCUCGCCUGUUUUCUAAUGACAUGAUAGUCACUUUCACAGAAACAUAAUAGUCUGCAAGUCAAAUGUUUAAUUUGCUGCUGCAGAAGAAUUCACAAUAGAAUUCUCAAUGUGGGGUUAAUUACAUAGUAAUGAAAGAGUAAACCAAUUGGGAAAAUGCUCUGAGUAACAUCGCUCUGUUUUCUCCUGAUAAAGAUGUGCCUGCUUGUUUCGUUUUAUAUUCUGGGAAAUUCCGAACUAAGAGAAAACACUUAAAAGGUAGGUGAACAAACAGUGAAGUUCUUAUCUUUUGUCAACACAGUGAAAAAACAAUGACUGUGUAUAAUUAUUAUAUUAUAAAAGCAACCAUUAAUAAUUAGCAAUGCAUAAAGUAUAAUAUUUUGUCAUAAGCAGGAGAACGUAGUAUAAGUAAUUAAUAAUAUAUUCUAAAGAAAGAAAUUGCUCAUCUGAACAAAACCCAGAAAAAUAAUGGAGUGGUCACUCAAUAUUGUCUCCAUGUUUUGAAUUUCUCAAAGAAUCGUUCGCCCUCACUUUCUGUGACUAGAGUGGCGUAUAAUUAGCUGUGUUAUUUAUUAGCUUUACUCCAUGUAUGUCCCAUACCUCCUUGGGUACUUUACCUAUUCUAUCUUAUUAAACUUCUCAAAAUUUUUAUGAGAAAGGUAGUAUGAUCCCUAUUUUAUUAGGUGAGGAAAAUGACACAUAAAGAGCAUAAAAACCUUUCCUGUGUGAUAGAUUCAAAUUCAGAUCUCUUUCUCGCCAAAGACUGUGUUCUCAUUCAUUAUCCCAUCCUGUCAUCUGUGUCAGUCAUGUAUGUUGACAUUUAUAUCAGAAAAGCGUGAAAGUUCAAAGAGAGAAAUAUUUUCUAUCUGAAUUUGCUUAUCAUCCUGGGUCAACAGCGGCUGGUACAGUGACACUGUGUUAGAUUUACUAUAAAACCAUAGUAAUUAGUAUUGUAUAGGUGCAAGGAUAAACAAACAAAUCAAACUAGCAAAAGAGAGUCUAGAAUUAGACUCACGCAUAUAUGGAUAAUUGAUUUUCAACUAAAGCACAAAUGGGGAAAGGAAAAUUUUGUCAAACUCCGGACCUCAAAAAUUGAAUAUCAGUGUUGGAAAGAAGAGCUUGAUCUUUACCUCAUUCCACAUAAAAACAUUAAUUCUAGAAUUGAUUUUAAUUCUAAUUCUGUAGUUUCUAGAAAAAAAUAUAGGAAACCUUUUCUGGACCUUGGACUAAGCAAAGAUUUCAUAGCCAAGGCCCAAACUGUGUUAGCCAUAAAAAUUACAUUUCAUGGAGUUCCUGUCGUGGCACAGUGGUUAACGAAUCCGACUAGGAACGAUGAGGUUGCGGGUUCGAUCCCUGGCCUUGCUCGGUGGGUUAAGAAUACGGCGGUGCCAUGUGCCAUGAGCUAUGGUGUAGGUCGCAGACGCGGCUCGGAU